GGCCUCUCCUCCUCAAGGCUUUGGGGGUCUCUCUCCCCUUUGGCCAGAAGAGGUGGCCCAGAUGAGCCUGGAGGUCACCGUCGGGCCGCGCUGUGAGAGAGGCGGCUCCGUUUUCCUGCCUCAGACAGUC